rnacentral:rRNA from 1 species
GACGAACGCUGGCGGCGUGCCUAAUACAUGCAAGUAGAACGCACAGUUUAUACCGUAGCUUGCUACACCAUAAACUGUGAGUUGCGAACGGGUGAGUAACGCGUAGGUAACCUGCCUGGUAGCGGGGGAUAACUAUUGGAAACGAUAGCUAAUACCGCAUAAUAUUAAUUAUUGCAUGAUAAUUGAUUGAAAGAUGCAAUUGCAUCACUACCAGAUGGACCUGCGUUGUAUUAGCUAGUAGGUGAGGUAACGGCUCACCUAGGCGACGAUACAUAGCCGACCUGAGAGGGUGAGCGGCCAGACUGGGACUGAGACACGGCCCAGACUCCUACGGGAGGCAGCAGUAGGGAAUCUUCGGCAAUGGACGAAAGUCUGACCGAGCAACGCCGCGUGAGUGAAGAAGGUUUUCGGAUCGUAAAGCUCUGUUGUAAGAGAAGAACGGGUGUGAGAGUGGAAAGUUCACACUGUGACGGUAUCUUACCAGAAAGGGACGGCUAACUACGUG